GAUGAACGCUGGCGGCGUGCCUAAUACAUGCAAGUCGAGCGAACGGACGAGAAGCUUGCUUCUCUGAUGUUAGCGGCGGACGGGUGAGUAACACGUGGAUAACCUACCUAUAAGACUGGGAUAACUUCGGGAAACCGUAGCUAAUACCGGAUAAUAUUUUGAACCGCAUGGUUCAAAAGUGAAAGACGGUCUUGCUGUCACUUAUAGAUUGAUCCGCGCUGCAUUAGCUAGUUGGUAAGGUAACGGCUUACCAAGGCAACGAUGCAUAGCCGACCUGAGAGGGUGAUCGGACACACUGGAACUGAGACACGGUCCAGACUCCUACGGGAGGCAGCAGUAGGGAAUCUUCCGCAAUGGGCGAAAGCCUGACGGAGCAAAGCCGCGUGAGUGAUGAAGGUCUUAGGAUCGGAAAACUACGUUAUUAGGGAAGAACAUAUGUGUAAGUAACUGUGCACAUCUUGACGGUACCUAAUCAGAAAGCCACGGCUAACUACGUG
rnacentral:rRNA from 1 species